rnacentral:rRNA from 1 species
ACCUACGGGAGGCAGCAGUGAGGAAUAUUGGUCAAUGGCCGGAAGGCUGAACCAGCCAAGCCGCGUGAAGGACGAAGGUGCCAAGCAUUGUAAACUUCUUUUGUCAAGGGACAAAAUCAGGCUCGAGAGCCUGACCGAGGGUACUUGAAGAAAAAGCAUCGGCUAACUCCGUGCCAGCAGCCGCGGUAAUACGGAGGAUGCGAGCGUUAUCCGGAUUUAUUGGGUUUAAAGGGUGCGUAGGCGGACUGUUAAGUCAGCGGUAAAAGCCCGGGGCUCAACCCCGGCGCGCCGUUGAAACAGGCUGU